rnacentral:lncRNA from 1 species
GAAUGGGGAUUGCCCAGGAGAACCUCCGGCAGCACAUCCUACAACAGGUGCUCCAGCUGAAGGUGCGAGAAGAAGUCAGAAACCUACAGUUACUCACACAAGCCUCAACCGAGGGUUCUCCAUAAACAUGGUUAGCCUUCCAAGCUGCUGUCCUGCCAGUCGAUAUGAACAUGGCCUGUUCCUCACAGAAAGACGAACUCUUGAUGCUGCCAGAAGAUAUCCUUGGAGCAUUGACAGAUUAACUGGAUUAACUGGAAAAAAAAAAAAAAUUCGGUCAAGAUCAUGGGCUUUGGAAAGUCUUAGUUUGCUAUGGAUUUUUAAAUGAGGUGCAUAAUAUACAGUGCCAACUUGUUCCAAGUGGUCAUUGGCAGACCAUUAGCUGGAAAAUAGCUUCCAGUUUUCAUCACUGUGCAUAACUCAAGCUCCCUCGGGGAGCUGUCUGUGCCCUUCACUAGAAGUCCUGUUUUAGCAUGGCAACUACUGGAUUAUUUUAUUAUGUGUGCAGAUGGCAUGAUGUGUUAGAAAAAAAAAAUUACAGCAGUUCUGCAGUCUCAGUGGAAGUGUUCACAAUAUUAGGCCCUGGUAGAGCCAUUCCUCAUGAUACUGGAUUCUGGGAAGCCCCAAUUCUAUGACUGGUCCUGGGGACACAGAAUUGGGCCUGAGGAAUUCAAAUGAACUACUGCCAGGUGCUGAGACAUUGUAGCUGGGAAUGAACUGGUUUAGCUUGGAGUGCUCUGAGAACUACUGGUAACACCCUUAGAAAAUUGGACAUGCUUUAUGGGGCAGAUGUUCAUGAUAUGAUGAUGGUGGUUCAUCCUUACUUUGGCAUUUGCAAAAUAUGUUCUGAACAUGAGUAGAGUUUUAUAGCUUUUUUCGAGUCACAAAUGUGCUGGACAAUGAUUAAAAGAUGAUGGCUGAAGAUGGAGAUGGGAGAAGGCAAAGAUGGAAACAAUGAAAGAGCCCCAUUGAAGAUGGUGUCUCUAAAAAUGCCUUAAUUCCUGGCACAUACCACAUAUUUGCAUGUGAGCUACUACUGUUUUCCAAACUGUCAACCUCGGUUUGAAAUCAUUUGGGGGCAUAGUUUUGGAAACGUGGUGGCCUAUAAUCUGAGCAGUUACAAGCUAAACCAGCAAAAUAGAGAAAUGAUUUCCUUCACAGCCUUGGGAUUCUUUGUUAUGCAUUGAUCCACAGUUACCCAUGGUUACUUCCUGCUGUGCUGUACCUUCUUCCCAAGAUAUAUGUAGGACGUUUUACCUCCUAGAAGUGCAGAGAUGGCUGUGGUGAGUUUUGUUUAAUGGGAAGCAGGAGACAGGAAGGUAGGGGAUAAAUAUUUUGACGACUAAGGGCUGUAAACUGUGGAUGCUGAACUUUUCCUUAAACCCAGGCUGCCCCUUUUUAUUUAAAGGCGCCCCCCCCCCCACACACACACACAUGCUUGUUCAGGAAAGGCACUCUUGGGAGUGAGCCAAAAUGAAUAAUUAUCAGACUCUUGAGGGGUACCCAGGGGAUAAAUUGUUCCAGCUCCAGAGCUGAAUUUAAAUAUGCAAAGCAUCAGUGGUCCUGCCUCAGUAAAAAGCAAAUCCCUUCAGUAGAUUAAGCCUACCUAGGGGGGCAAGAGACCCUAUCAGCUUUCUUGUGGGCGUGGCUCAUCUUCAAGUCUCUGCGCAGCCUCUGUGAGGUGUGUAACCGCCCCGUGGACUUCUACCUCCAGAAUACAGGGAAAUAUCCCCGGGUUCCCUCCGGAGUCCCUUCUCAGUUGCUCGGACAGUGGCUAAUAGUCCUUAGAUCUGAGGGACUCCUUCCUGGUUUUUAACCUUCAAGGGGAAAAGGGACAUCAACCUUACGUGAGAAUAUAAUGGAAGCAUUAAAACUUCUAAUGGGCGUACCCCCUUGUUCCUUGCAAAUGUUUUCUUUGUCUGCAAAUGUCACAUAAUCGAUUUUGGCGCGGAACAAUGGAAGUCUCACAAAGGAAAAGUUUUCAAGACCCCCUUAGCACUUUCAUUUUGCCAAAACCUCCUCUUUCAGUGCUUCAGCGGCUUCAUUCUUUGUACUGUUUUCCUCUCCAUUCAAGUAAUUUUGUUACUUGACAACUAGACUUAAAGCUGCCAUGGUCUCUUUUUUAAAAGUCUAAUCUUUGAAAAUGACAUCAAUUCCUUUAUGCCUUAAAGGCAGUUUUAUUCACCUCUUCCACAACCCUCUCCACUUCACUUUCUUGCUUUGUUUUGUGAGGUGUGUUUUUUUUUUUCCUCUUAAUCUCUUUCUUUUCAUAACAUAGUUCCUUGGGCAGAUUUCAAGUAUUCCGCAAAGAACCCAAACAGAAAAAUAUAGUCGUCCCCUUUCUUACCAGUUCUGACUAAUAAGUCCUUGUUGAGCUUGAUCUGGGUGAAAGCUUGGUGCCCAGACCACACUGGGCAGGAAUUCUCAUCGUCUGGAGAGUGGCCGGUCACUGCAGUAAUCAAAACAAGACCCGCGACUCACGAGGAAGGACAGACGGCCUGGGAGAUGCAGCUGCUUGGGCACAGCUGGGGACUGUGUUUCAAAGACUAGCGGGUCCUGUCCCUUUGUCUCUUUAGAUGUGCAUCUAAUCCUGUAGCCAGAGAACUGUCUUAAGAAUUCUGCUUUAUCAAUGUGAGUGAUCCCUGGCUCCGCUGCACAGCUUCAAGGUCAGAGAGGGCUGCAUUUCCAUUACUUUGCUCUGGUGACUUCUGCCUCUAGUAAAGAGGCAAGAAGGCUUCAUUUUUUAAAAAUGUUUUUAAAUAAAUUUUAUGGGGGUCUCAUUGACUUAACAAAGUUGCAUUAGUUUCAGGUGUACAGCAAAGUGAAUCAGUUAUACGUAAUACCUAUAUACCUUCCAAGGAGGCUUCUUUUGAAAGCUAACCACCUGUGGAAAGCUUGAAAAACUGGCCAGUUGCACAGGGAGGUUUGGCCACCCUUUAAUAAAAGGAACCAAAUCAAGCUUUCUCUAGGGAUUCUCAUUUGGGAAGUUGGCUAGGAGGAUGGUAUCAGUACAGGCUUUCUUCUGGCCAUUAUCUUGGCCCUGCAGGGAAAAUUCUGGGCAAGGAGGACAAGCACAGAGAUCUAACAUAUUUAGAGUGCAAUUUGCCCAUGACAAAUCUAGAGGAGAAGUGCCAUGGAGGAAAGGGCUGGUUUCAGACCUCCUUCCCAGCAACACAGACUGAGACAUAAUGUCCACAGAACAACAGAAAAGGGGUAGCAGAGGCUUUGUAAAUCUGGACUUUCCCAUGCCACGUUGGGCUAUUUUAAAGCCUUUCAGAGCCCCAAGCAUCCUUACUUCAGAGGCUCCCAAUUAUAUCAAGCGCUCGAAGGCACCAACAACAUACACCUAAUAAAAUUUCAAAGUAGCCAUGUGACUUGCAUUGCUUUGCAGGUGACUGGUUGACAUUAAGUGUUACAGCUAUUUAGACAUUAAUUCUGAUUAUGCAAUUCCUUUUUACAUUUUGAAGCCAGUGGUUUGGGGUUUCCAUCGUUUCAUUGUUUGUUUUGUUGUUGUUGUUUUCCAAACCUCAAACAUUUACAGAAGCCUUAGAAAGGCUCUUCGACCCAGAUCUUUUUGCCUGAAGCACAGAAAUAGAAACAGCCCUCUGAUGCAAACAAGGCAACGGUUAUAUUAAUCCAACUUUAGAGAUGCUAGCACCUAAACUCUUUAAGACCCUGAUGACUCUGCUGGUUGCCUUCUGCAUUGUUUAUAGCCUUUUAAGUUUCAGUCGUUUGGAUCAAGGGAAAUAAACAGGCUGCCUUCCCAUGGCCUUGCCACACCAGCACGCACACAACCACUACACAUGGAAUCCUAAGCCAGAUUCAUGUGCCACAGCACACAGAUCUGUUUCCCGUGAUCGUAUCUAAUUACCAUCCCCGACCCAACCCCCCAUUUUCUAUAAAAAUGGAUUCAUAUGCUUUACUCUAAAAAAAGUUCUAAAAUGAGGUUCGUACUCAUUAGAUCAUGACUUCUCUUGGGGUGGGGGAAUUGACUUUGCGACAUAACCUUGGAGAAAAAUCACUGGCUAUUAAAUGCCUUGGUGAUUGCUCCUGUGCCCUUCCAAAAACCGAUGUUGGACUUCUCCCAUCUCCCCAGAGGUCAGCCUGGCCUCCCUCUCAAGCAGCACAAAUAUCAUGAAGAUACCUUUGGAAGUGUCUAAACAGACUCCCUAUUCAAGCAUAAUUCCAAAAAUGGGAUUUGAAUCAAAGACUGCCUUGAUUCUGGGUUAUGUGAUCCCUAAAUCAAUUCCAAUUCUUUAGAUAUAUAUCCACAGCAUUUUUUUUUCACCUGCAUCCUCUAUGUUAAUGUGUUUGCAUCAGGGGCUACACACUAACUCUGUCACAACUUUUGACAAUGUCUAUGCCACGUUCCCAUUCCGUGCAUCAAGAGAAGACCAAAAAAAUUUCCUUUGGUACCAGCCGCAGAGGUUCUAAAGUACAGAACCAGGUAUUUUUUCACAUCAGAAGGCCCCUGUUUAUAGGUGGAAACUUUAAAGAGAAACAAGGGAAGGGAUAUUCCUAUUUGAACUCUGGAAUCUUUGUUUUUUCAUUGUCAUUCGGGUCUCACCUCAGAGCACCCUUCUCUUUCUAGAAGCAGCAGCUUCUUCGGGGAGUGUUGGCCCCCAUUGGAGGUGGUUGGGAUUCCACUUGCUUAAACUUACAGGAAGGGCAUCGGAAGGCUCUCUGAGGCUCUGCGUGAGUUCUCCACUCCUCCCUUUCUUUCACCAGUAGAAAAAUGCUAUCCUUACAAGGUCAUGUUUGAGGAGCCCUCAGUUUAGCCAGUGAACCUCCACGUUACAGAGAGCUGAACAAUGCCAGGUUCUUGACUGUGCCCUCUAAGCCUCAGUCGUGAUUGGCACAGAAGCAACCAGUCUGCUGAAAAGCCGAGCCAGCACAAAUGUUUUGAAACGAAUUCCACUGAAACUCUUGUUUGUUACAUCAUACUUGCUGUAGUUCCAGUUAAUCCAACUAUUUAAUAUCAUGAGGUACUAAAUUAAAUAGCUGUACACAAAAUUUUAGAAAAGAUCAAUAUUGUAACAAAAUUACAUAUUAGCAGUAAAAAGUACCCAAGAAAAGAAAAUAUUGAUCCAUUGUGGUUUCUAUACUUGAGUUAUUCUUAGGACUCUGGAGAGACUGGCACUGCUCUGAUAAAUGAGAAGAUGGCUUUCUUUGGUCUUUGAAAAUGUUUAUCGGAGUAUAGUUGAAUUUGCAAUGUUGCGUUAGUUUCAGGUGUACAACAAAGGGACUCAGCUACCUAUAUACACGUGUCUGUUCCUUUUCAGAUUCUUUUCCUAUAUAGGUCACUACAGCGUGUUGAGCAGAUUUCCCUGUGCUGCACAGUAGGUCCCCGUUACUCCUCCAUUCCAUAUAUGGGGAAGACGUUUUGAAUUCGAGAAUACGAACUUGAACUAAGGGGAAACUGCCUGUCUCUCUCUGGGCCUCUGCUCAUCUGUUUGGGAUGCUCCCUGUUCCAUCUCAGCAGACAGGGUUGUUGGGAGGCCAAAAUGAGCAAAGGGGAGAAACUAUGCUGUACCACCCAUAUCUGUGUAUUCAUCCUGGUGAGCUGGGCUAUUGGCUUUUGUCAGUGAGCCCUUUUCUUUUGUUUAUGCCUUCCCUUCAUAGCUCUUAUUACUCAGAUUCCAUUCUGGAAUUUUGAAAAGUAAAAUAAGAAAGUUAUCAAUCAGCAUUCUGAAUGCACACCCAAUAUAUGGCGACUGGUCUACAAAGCUCAUGGUCAAGGUGCCCAUUCAUCCCCACAUCACCUCCCAAAGGUUUAGAGCACUAGCCGAGCGGAGCUCAGUGCAGGUGAAGAUUGCCAAUCCCCGAGGUUGAAGACAGCCCAUGAAGUUGACAAAUUGAGGGUCACAGGAAGCAGAGAGCCACAUCGAACUUCCUUGAUGAGCUGCCAUAUAUUAGUCUUUGUGCUAGGAAAGAAAGAGGAAGAAAAAUGAGACAAUGUGAAUUGCAUGUGAGACCAGGGCUCUCAAUUGAGUAUGAGAGGGGGAAAAAAUCCUGCACAAAAAACAAAACAAACAAACAAAAAAACCUAGUUCACUGUUUUGCAGACACUAACAAACAUGGCUAUAAAAGCACAUUUUGUAACACAAAAGCCUACGUAGAUCGUAGACAUGUUUAUAGCAUCCUUAAGUGAGUAGUUAAACCAGCAGUCUGAAUUCUCUUAGUCCCCUGAGUGGUUAAUUAAAUAUUUUCCUUAUUCAUUGCCCACAACUGUGGUUUUCCCCCUCUAUGCACCCUAGAAAAAUUCCCAAGACUAGACUUAGGAGGACACAAGCCGGUUAUGUGGUAAAAUAAGAGUGCCUUUUCUGUUGGAUGUUCAUUUUAGUGCCCUGCAUUUCCAGGGCAUACCAUGUUUAGAAACUUUUUUCUCUAAACGUAGGAAUUACUAGGCACCACGAUUUUGAAAUACCAAUUUCCAUAUCUUAAGCAGCUGUCAACUUGCCAAUUCCCUUUGGGUCUCCUUUACAUUUUCUUAUAAUGUUUCCUUGUGUUUUGGGUUGCCCUCAAAAAGAGUUUUGGGGGGGCAUGACUUUUUAAAUUGAUAGAAAUGCAACUGUACAGAUUUUUGCCCCCUUGUAUCUGUGAGCAUGAUCUCUAUCAGGCUUGAAAAAUCUGCUUUAUCAUUUUGUAUAUUUGACUAUUUUGUAUUCAACAUUACUUGAUUCCUUAUGUGCAUGGCGAUGUAUUAAAAUGUGGGAUUUCU